rnacentral:rRNA from 1 species
UACGUAGGGCGCAAGCGUUGUCCGGAAUUAUUGGGCGUAAAGAGCUCGUAGGCGGUUUGUCGCGUCUGCUGUGAAAACCUAAGGCUCAACCUUGGGCUUGCAGUGGGUACGGGCAGACUAGAGUGCGGUAGGGGUGACUGGAAUUCCUGGUGUAGCGGUGGAAUGCGUAGAUAUCUGGAGGAAUACCGGUGGCGAAGGCGGCAUCCUGGACCGGCAUUGACGCUGAGGAGCGAAAGCCAGGGGAGCAAACGGG